rnacentral:rRNA from 1 species
AUUGAACGCUGGCGGCAUGCUUUACACAUGCAAGUCGAACGGCAGCGCGGGCUUCGGCCUGGCGGCGAGUGGCGAACGGGUGAGUAAUGCAUCGGAACGUGCCCAGUAGUGGGGGAUAGCCCGGCGAAAGCCGGAUUAAUACCGCAUACGACCUGAGGGUGAAAGCGGGGGACCGAAAGGCCUCGCGCUAUUGGAGCGGCCAAUGUCGGAUUAGCUAGUUGGUGGGGUAAAGGCUUACCAAGGCGACGAUCCGUAGCUGGUCUGAGAGGACGACCAGCCACACUGGGACUGAGACACGGCCCAGACUCCUACGGGAGGCAGCAGUGGGGAAUUUUGGACAAAGGGGGCAACCCUGAUCCAGCCAUGCCGCGUGCGGGAAGAAGGCCUUCGGGUUGUAAACCGCUUUUGUUCGGGAAGAAAUCCUCUGGGCUAAUACCCCGGGGGGAUGACGGUACCGGAAGAAUAAGCACCGGCUAACUACGUG